rnacentral:miRNA from 1 species
CUGGGCUGAGGUUCACUUACG